UUGAUCUUGGAGUACUUGGGAAAAGUUCUGGAAGCCUACAAUGAAGAGUGUGGCAACAAAGCUAUCUGCACCAUCAUGGCCUGCUUGCUCACUUCAAGGAGGGGGAUGGUAUCUUCCUUAUGGCUGAUCCCUCUGCCACGGCUGCCGAUAUCGAGAGAGCUGUCACCCUGCCAAGCACACCUCGAUUAGUUGUACCAGGAGAGAUACUGCACGGUGCAGACACGUGGAUUAUGUCCAUGGAAGGAGCAUGUGUGAUGGGGCCCCACAGCAACCUCCUGCAUGGAUUGGCAGCAGUCUUCGCUGCCUACUAUGUGUUCAACUUGCAAUAUCCGGCAUAAGCGGCUAGCACACUUGAGUUCAUCCAGAGAGCCUUUUGCGGCAUAAAUCCCCAGACGGGCAGCGAGGCAGAGAAAAAACGAGGGCUGAACGCACCAGUUUGCACACUUUUGAGAAAACUGCUGGAUUUUGAAUUGGUGGGUAGGGGAUAUUAGUGGGCAGGGGAAAUUAGAGGGCAGAGGACAUUAGUGGGCUGAGGACAUUAGUGAACAGGGGGCAUUAGAGGGCAGGGGACAUUACAGGACAUUAGUGGGCAGGGGGCAUGUCUCUAUCAGCAAACUUGAUCACAAUAUUGGAUUGAUGUGCU
rnacentral:lncRNA from 15 species